GACGAACGCUGGCGGCGUGCCUAAUACAUGCAAGUAGAACGCACAGUUUAUACCGUAGCUUGCUACACCAUAGACUGUGAGUUGCGAACGGGUGAGUAACGCGUAGGUAACCUGCCUGGUAGCGGGGGAUAACUAUUGGAAACGAUAGCUAAUACCGCAUAAUAUUGAUUAUUGCAUGAUAAUUGAUUGAAAGAUGCUAUUGCAUCACUACCAGAUGGACCUGCGUUGUAUUAGCUAGUAGGUGAGGUAACGGCUCACCUAGGCGACGAUACAUAGCCGAACUGAGAUGGUGAGCGGCCACACUGGGACUGAGACACGGCCCAGACUCCUACGGGAGGCAGCAGUAGGGAAUCUUCGGCAAUGGACGAAAGUCUGACCGAGCAACGCCGCGGGAGUGAAGAAGGUUUUCGGAUCGUAAAGCUCGGUUGUAAGAGAAGAACGGGUGUGAGAGUGGAAAGUUCACACUGUGACGGUAUCUUACCAGAAAGGGACGGCUAACUACGUG
rnacentral:rRNA from 1 species